GAUGUUGACGUCGGUCUUACCCGAUGUUCCAGAACCGCAUCAUGGUUGUGAUGUUGUCAUUCAUUGUUGUUGUAUCUUGUCUCAGUUCUUGCACUGCAGCGGCAUGGUCCUGGUUCCAUUUUUGUUGCUCUUCCAGGAGUCUUCCAUGUUCUGCUUGUGUGUUCUGGAUGUCGAGGAGGGUGUUGUCGGUACGAGUGAAGAAAGCACCGGCCUCUUGAUAGUAGUCAUUCGUGAAAGCGUAGGAGGCGUCGGAGUAUCGUCCUGCAUCAAAUUGGGGCGGAGGUCUGGAUCCUGAAGCUCCAUAUGGAUCAGUGGAGUACCUGCCCGUAUGAAAAGGCGGGUUUGUCCACUGGUGAUCUUGGCUCUCCGGCCAUGUCUCCUCUGUUGGCUCUUGUGGUU
rnacentral:lncRNA from 1 species